rnacentral:rRNA from 1 species
AUUGAACGCUGGCGGCAUGCUUUACACAUGCAAGUCGAACGGUAACAGGUUAAGCUGACGAGUGGCGAACGGGUGAGUAAUGCAUCGGAACGUGCCCGGUCGUGGGGGAUAACGCAGCGAAAGCUGCGCUAAUACCGCAUACGAUCUGAGGAUGAAAGCGGGGGACCGUAAGGCCUCGCGCGAUCGGAGCGGCCGAUGUCAGAUUAGGUAGUUGGUGGGGUAAAGGCUCACCAAGCCGACGAUCUGUAGCUGGUCUGAGAGGACGACCAGCCACACUGGGACUGAGACACGGCCCAGACUCCUACGGGAGGCAGCAGUGGGGAAUUUUGGACAAUGGGCGCAAGCCUGAUUCAGCAAUGCCGCGUGCAGGAAGAAGGCCUUCGGGUUGGAAACUGCUUUUGUACGGAGCGAAAAGGCUCUCUCUAAUACAGGGGGCUCAUGACGGUACCGUAAGAAUAAGCACCGGCUAACUACGUGCCAGCCGCCGCGGUAAGAC